GCGUUUUCGCGAUCAUGAGAAAAUCUUUUGGUUGAAUAAUUUAAUAAAAAGCGUGUUUUGGUUAUCUAAAUUUAUCUUUUUCUUUUCUCUCGCCCUUCAGAAGAUUAUCGAUUUAUUAAUUAUGUGUAAAUUUAACUAAACAAUAAUUGCGAUUAAUUUAACUCUCGCUCGGGCGAGGACGUAAAAUGCGCGCGGUUCACUCAAAACUAGUCGAUCUUCCCGCAAGAGAGGUCGUCGAGAUUGAAGGCACCGGAAACGCUUUUAGGAUAAAAAUCGCGUAUUCGGGAUGACGGAACGGAAAGAGGCGAUCCGUGAAACGACCGGAGGACCCUCACCUGCGCCGGAACUCGUUUCGUCCGUAGUACACGCUAAGGGCGUACUCGAGAGUUUUGCUUGCGAUCCCCACUGCUGCAAUUCCGACUUGACUGAAGAUCCGACAUUAAUCACAAUCAAAAAGCUCCCGAAAGGAUGCACUCGUCGUAAGAACUGCAGAAGCGUCAACGAAUCGGCAAGGACUACAAGAGAAACGUGUUGCGGACGUAGACAGAAAUCGCCACCUCAAGAGGAUAAUUGCCGCGAGUAAACGAUGUCUAUUAUCGGUUGCACGAAAACUUGCAACUGCCGAAAAGAUGCGUUUCUGAAACGGCUUGCCGCUCAACAUAUCGCAGAAAAUCCGCAAAAGCAAGACGAGGGAACCGACACCACGAGUGGAGAAGCGACAAUUUUAUCAGACGUCGUCGUGACCCCGGAUUUGUCCGGAAAUCCCGACGACGUAGCGCGUCACGCAUCCGGAAAUAAACAUCCGGGCGAGCGAGCUGCGACGGCCGUCGACGGUCUCGAGGAAACGGUCGCGGCUGCGCAGAAGGAGAACGCUGAAAUCCCGCAAGUAGCAACGACGGUUCCCGAGACACUUGUUCGAGCUCAACGAGCUGAUGUUUCAGAAUUGUCGGUUGACAGUCAAGGAAACGAGGACUGAGAAUCAGCGCGCGCUCUGUGAAAUCUCGGAAUCGCGCGGGAGAGCCAAGACAAGUCCGAAUCUCUUUCUUGAACGAAGAGCAUAAGCGAGAAUUUAAUGUUUAACGUUAAUUUAAUAUUCUCCGCUUUGGUAACUCCGGGCGACCAAUGGGUCACGAAUUGCGUUGGAAAGAAAAGACAAUAACAAUUCAGGUCUCACAUUGUAAUUUCCCCUCUUCGGGGCUCAGUGUCGGGUUUACUUCCCUCGGUAGUCCUAAUUACGUUGUCGACCGAAGUCGAUUCAAUGCACGCCAAGCCGAUUCCAGAGCCUUCGCAAAAACAAGCAGAUACGAAAGAAAUACCCACUCCUCGCGCUUAACGACGAAUUAAGGGGGAUAGAGGCAAGUCGCGAGGGUAAAUUUGCCAACUACUCGAGUAAUUAAGGGCGUUCCAAUUGGGGAUUCUGGGUCGUUCCCCCGCCUCCGGGAAAAGAACAGAGUGAGAAGAAAGAAACGGAAAAGUGAGAGACGCACGGUGAAGUUGUUCCGAACAAACUUUGCGCGCUGUCCUUCGCGCUGUUAUAUCUCAAUGAGAUAUCAGGAAUUUCGAAACUAAGUCGACGACGUGGCUGUUUCGACCGACCGUCGCGGCAUCUAGUCUAUCAAGCAGCUGGCUUCGUCUAUACGGAAAAACUGCCUAAUGGUCCCCCUGGCCUAAUUGAUCGCCGGCAUGACGGACCAUCAAGAGCCGGUCGAGUAUCAGAAUGUCGAUUCCGAGACGAUAAAAUCAGAAAUGCCAGAUGGUGCGGAAAACUCCUCGUUACAUACAGCGACGACUGAAGAAGCGCGAGUGAACGGCUCAGCGGAGCCAGACAUCGAUGAGGGAUCCGAGUUUGACGAUGAGAAAAACGAAAGAUAUCAAACAGCCGUAUUUACACUGACUACGUUUGUUGCGGUUUUUGCGCUCUAUGUUUACAUAGUGUACAGCCUCAGCAGUCCCUCGCCGCGUCUGUCCCGAUGUUAACGCGCGCCUGAUCAAUUAAUCUGGAAGCGAUGGAUCGAGCGUAGUUGUGCGAGUGUCGAAUUGUUCGCGUUGAAGACGGGAGAAACUUGUUCUGUGGCACACUUAAACAACAAGACAAUAUAACUGUAACUUAAAU